CGGGGUGUGAGUAGAGCGGCGAACGGGUGAGUAACACGUAAGCAACCUGCCCUUAAAUCUGGAAUAACUUCGCUAACGCGGGGCUAAUGCCGGAUGUGAUCUGUUAAUCUCAUGGUUUUCAGAUUAAAGGUGACCUCUAUUUAUAAGUUACUGUUUAAGGAUGGGCUUGCGUACCAUUAGUUUGUUGGUGGGGUAAUGGCCUACCGAGACUACGAUGGUUAGCCGACCUGAGAGGGUGAUCGGCCACAUUGGGACUGAGAUACGGCCCAGACUCC
rnacentral:rRNA from 1 species